UACGGAGGGUGCAAGCGUUAAUCGGAAUUACUGGACGUAAAGCGUGCGUAGGCGGUUCGUUAAGUCUGUUGUGAAAGCCCCGGGCUCAACCUGGGAAUGGCAAUGGAUACUGGCGAGCUAGAGUGUGUCAGAGGAUGGUGGAAUUCCCGGUGUAGCGGUGAAAUGCGUAGAGAUCGGGAGGAACAUCAGUGGCGGAAGGCGGCCAUCUGGGACAACACUGACGCUGAGGCACGAAAGCGUGGGUAGCAAACAGG
rnacentral:rRNA from 1 species